rnacentral:rRNA from 1 species
GAUGAACGCUGGCGGCGUGCCUAAUACAUGCAAGUCGAGCGAAUGGAUUAAGAGCUUGCUCUUAUGAAGUUAGCGGCGGACGGGUGAGUAACACGUGGGUAACCUGCCCAUAAGACUGGGAUAACUCCGGGAAACCGGGGCUAAUACCGGAUAACAUUUUGAACCGCAUGGUUCGAAAUUGAAUGGCGGCUUCGGCUGUCACUUAUGGAUGGACCCGCGUCGCAUUAGCUAGUUGGUGAGGUAACGGCUCACCAAGGCAACGAUGCGUAGCCGACCUGAGAGGGUGAUCGGCCACACUGGGACUGAGACACGGCCCAGACUCCUACGGGAGGCAGCAGUAGGGAAUCUUCCGCAAUGGACGAAAGUCUGACGGAGCAACGCCGCGUGAGUGAUGAAGGCUUUCGGGUCGUAAAACUCUGUUGUUAGGGAAGAACAAGUGCUAGUUGAAUAAGCUGGCACCUUGACGGUACCUAACCAGAAAGCCACGGUUAACUACGUGCCAGCAGCCGCCGCGG